rnacentral:rRNA from 1 species
CCUACGGGGGGCAGCAGUGAGGAAUAUUGGUCAAUGGACGAGAGUCUGAACCAGCCAAGUAGCGUGAAGGAUGACUGCCCUAUGGGUUGUAAACUUCUUUUAUAUGGGAAUAAAAUGUUCCACGUGUGGGAUUUUGUAUGUACCAUAUGAAUAAGGAUCGGCUAAUUCCGUGCCAGCAGCCGCGGUAAUACGGAGGAUCCGAGCGUUAUCCGGAUUUAUUGGGUUUAAAGGGAGCGUAGGUGGAUUGUUAAGUCAGUUGUGAAAGUUUGCGGCUCAACCGUAAAAUUGCAGUUGAAACUGGCAGUCUUGAGUACAGUAGAGGUGGGCGGAAUUCGUGGUGUAGCGGUGAAAUGCUUAGAUAUCACGAAGAACUCCGAUUGCGAAGGCAGUUCACUGGACUGCAACUGACACUGAGGCUCGAAAGUGUGGGUAUCAAACAGGAUUAGAUACCCGGGUAGUC